AUGACAAACUUUAAUGAUCGUCCAAUGGGUAUUUCCAGAGUCAUAGACAUACACAGAUCAAAAUUUUCUUUUGUUACAUCGGUUAUUUUACUAGUUGCUUUAAUUCAGCAAUCAACCUGCAAAAAACGGAGCAUGUAUGAUCCUGACCCACCGCGGGUACCCCGUCGCAGUUGGGCAGUCAAAACUGCCUUUGAAAGGUACAGAAUUAUACUGGAUCGUAUUAUUCCAAAGGCACCAGACAGAUUCAUGUUGGUGAAGUUUAACAAUAAUAAAACGGUCGAGUUAGGAAGUGUAAUGAGGUUUGACGAUGUAUGGGAGAUGCCAGUUUUCAUUAAUUUUGACUUUGACAUCGGUUGUUACCACACUUUAAUAUUUCUCAAUAUUGAUCAUCAAAACGAGUUUUUCCCCCAAAAAAGGCAGUAUCUCCACUGGUUAGUCGGUAAUAUCCCAGAGGUCAUGUUAGAGAAAGGUAAAAUUCUGGCCUCUUACUUGAUGCCGAUUCCUCCCCGAUUCUACGAGGUGAGUUUUGGUUGGAAUACAAACAAUCACGAAAUAACCCUGCAUCGUCUUUUUAAGUUUAAAUCAACAUAA
rnacentral:lncRNA from 1 species